rnacentral:lncRNA from 1 species
GUAUGCAUUUGGUGACUGCCGUAAACCAUCACAUGAAUCGGUUUCUCUAGUUGAAGAUAUAGUACAUCAGCAGAUGACUAGUGUGCUGGUGCAAGCAGCAGAAGUGACUAACACAAGAGGAGGAAAGUUUACUAGUAUUGAUGAUAUCUUAUUUAUUUUGAAGAAUAAUAAGUGUAAACUUCAGAGAGUUAUUCGAUAUCUUAGAUUAAAGGACCUAAAGAGCAAGACUAUUAAAUCAGCUUCACCAGAUGAAGAAGAUAUUUUUGAGA